AAGGGAGACCUAAUUCCGGUAGGAGACGAAAAAAAGUAGUCCCAACCAAGAAUCAAUCCCAAAAGGUCGGAACGAGGUAUGAGGCUUUCAAGCUAGGUUCUGGGUUCAUAAAAGACCUGAAUCAGGAACAAGGGCUAUUAGCUCAGGUGGUUAGAGCGCACCCCUGAUAAGGGUGAGGUCCCUGGUUCGAGUCCAGGAUGGCCCACCUGCACAGGUGGCAAAAACAAGAGAAGCUCCGAAUCAGCACCUUAUCUUAUAUACAUAUAUAAGAGAGAAUGCUGGCUCUGAGUACAGAGUCCAGAGGAACCUUGAAAACUGCAUAGAGCUAGGUGAAAAAGCCAAAAAAGAAGACCGCAA
rnacentral:tRNA from 1 species